AACGAACGCUGGCGGCAGGCCUAACACAUGCAAGUCGAACGAUCCUUCGGGAUAGUGGCGCACGGGUGAGUAACACGUGGGAAUGUACCUUUUAGUGGGGGAUAACAGUUGGAAACGACUGCUAAUACCGCAUACGUCCUUCGGGAGAAAGAUUUAUCGCUAAAAGAUCAGCCCGCGUCUGAUUAGCUAGUUGGUGAGGUAACGGCUCACCAAGGCGACGAUCAGUAGCUGGUCUAAGAGGACGACCAGCCACACUGGAACUGAGACACGGUCCAGACUCCUACGGGAGGCAGCAGUGGGGAAUAUUGGACAAUGUGCGAAAGCCUGAUCCAGCCAUGCCGCGUGAGUGAUGAAGGCCUUCGGGUUGUAAAGCUCUUUAGCAGGGGAAGAUAGUGACGGUACCCUGAGAAUAAGCCCCGGCUAACUCUGUGCCAGCAGCCGCGGUAA
rnacentral:rRNA from 1 species